AUACGUAGGGGGCGAGCGUUGUCCGGAAUGAUUGGGCGUAAAGGGCGCGUAGGCGGCCCGGUAAGUCUGGAGUGAAAGUCCUGUUUUUAAGUUGGGAAUUGCUUUGGAUACUGUCGGGCUUGAGUGCAGGAGAGGUAAGUGGAAUUCCCAGUGUAGCGGUGAAAUGCGUAGAGAUUGGGAGGAACACCAGUGGCGAAGGCGACUUACUGGACUGUAACUGACGCUGAGGCGCGAAAGUGUGGGGAGCAAACAGGAUUAGAUACCCUGGUAGUCCACACUGUAAACGAUGAAUGCUAGGUGUAGGGGGUAUCGACCCCUUCUGUGCCGCAGUCAACACAAUAAGCAUUCCGCCUGGGGAGUACGGCCGCAAGGUUGAAACUCAAAUGAAUUGACGGGG
rnacentral:rRNA from 1 species